GGUGGAUGUAGCUCAGCUGGUUAGAGCGCUAGAUUGUGGCUCUAGAGGUCGUGGGUUCGAAUCCCAUCUUUCACCC
rnacentral:tRNA from 1 species